AAGACUGCGCGCAGGCGCAGCCUCCCUCUUUUCGAGGUCCGCCGCCGCGUGUGCAGAAGUUAUGGCCGUUUCUGUGCGCCGUGCAUUCACUGAAAAGGCUAGGGCUUUGGGUGUUGGCAUGCCUUUGGCACCGGUUGAGACGCUGGGAAGCAAAGUUGGAGAUUCCAUCCCAGAAGUAGUGGCAGGAUCCCUAAGCGUAAACGGACCGGUGUGGCCACCAGUACGAAGGUGGAGAUAGGUGGUGGGCAUCUGCUUCAUGUGCUAGUCCUGAAGUUCAUCCGUAAGAACGUAUGUUGAACCAUGAGUCCACCUCGAUUGGAGUUGGCUCCUGGAGACAUCAUCAUAAGAUGUGGUGCAGGCUGAAUCUCUGGGGCAGAAAGGGAUGCUGUAGCAGCCACACAGGUUAUUGCCCUGUAGUGCCCUGCCACUGCCCUUAAUCGCCCAGAGAGUGUCAUCAGAAGACCUUGGAGUUUGAUCUGCAAAAGUAGCCAGCAGAGUCAAGUGACUGCAGUCCCCUGGGAAGCCUCUGGCAGCUACUGAGUGCUCAGCUGGAGGCACUGGGGAGGCAGCCGGUGCCCUGUCUAAAAAAAGCAUUUCUCACAGUGGAUUUCCUGAGAAGUCAGGGUUGGGCUUUGUUUUGAAGUACAAAUAAACUUUAUAAAAUUUAACUCA